UGGGGAAUCUUAGACAAUGGGGGCAACCCUGAUCCAGCCAUGCCGCGUGAGUGAAGAAGGCCUUAGGGUUGUAAAGCUCUUUCGCCAGGGAUGAUAAUGACAGUAUCUGGUAAAGAAACCCCGGCUAACUCCGUGCCAGCAGCCGCGGUAAUACGGAGGGGGUUAGCGUUGUUCGGAAUUACUGGGCGUAAAGCGCGCGUAGGCGGAUUAGUCAGUUAGAGGUGAAAUCCCGGGGCUCAACCCCGGAACUGCCUUUAAUACUGCUAGUCUUGAGUUCGAGAGAGGUGAGUGGAAUUCCUAGUGUAGAGGUGAAAUUCGUAGAUAUUAGGAGGAACACCAGUGGCGAAGGCGGCUCACUGGCUCGAUACUGACGCUGAGGUGCGAAAGUGUGGGGAGCAAACAGGAUUAGAUACCCUGGUAGUCCACACCGUAAACGAUGAAAGCCAG
rnacentral:rRNA from 1 species